rnacentral:tRNA from 1 species
GGCUGAGUAGCUCAGUGGUCAGAGCGACGGUCUCAUAAACCGUAGGUCGUGGGUUCAAUACCCACCUCAGCCACCA